UGGAAAGAGGACCUGCUGGUGCAGCUUGCCCCACUUCGGUCUCUUCUAUCCUCCAGAAAGCUCCUGUGGCCCAGAACCCCUCGGGAAGAACACUCCUCUGUUGGGAAGGUGUCUUGGUGGAUGUACUUGGUCAAGAAUGCCUUUGCAAAGCAUGUCUCACACACCCCAUAUGGAAGGGCGCCCCACCGAGGGCUAGGCUCCUGCAGAAUGCUUCGUGGCAGGAGGGGAGCAGAGCACUCCCCGGCUGUCCUCCAGGGUGAGCCGUCCCAAGGCCUAGGACCCACAUACGGGCCGCGGCACCUGCACCUCCGGCUCCCGCCUCCAUCAGUAUCACGACUCUUCAGUGUCCCCGGCAACAGCCAAGAGCAAUCGAGGAGAAAGCAGACUCUCCAUCAGGGAGAUCCCAGCACAUCCACAGCAGCGUGUCCCCCCACCCACCCUCUGGCCCAGUCCCCACGCACAGGGCGGCCUCAGGCCUCCUCCUCCUCCUCUCUCCACGCCCGCCUUGCCAGACAGCAGGGCCUGCUUCCACCGAGCCAGCCUUGCCUUUCCCAGAGAACCUUUCCUUUACAAUCCUCCUCCUUGGGGCUCCUGGGGGGCUCAGUCAGUGAAGCAUCCACCUUUGGCUCGGGACAUGAUCUCAGGGUCCUGGAAUCGAGUCCUGCGUGGGGCUCCCUGCUCAGCGGGAAGCCUGCUUCUCCCUCUGCCCGGCCCCCCCAACUAUGUGAGCUCUCG
rnacentral:lncRNA from 1 species